GACGGGGGGGGCUAGCGUUGCUCGGAAUCACUGGGCGUAAAGGGUGCGUAGGCGGGUUUUUAAGUCAGAGGUGAAAUCCUGGAGCUCAACUCCAGAACUGCCUUUGAUACUGGGAAUCUUGAGUAUGGAAGAGGUGAGUGGAACUGCGAGUGUAGAGGUGAAAUUCGUAGAUAUUCGCAAGAACACCAGUGGCGAAGGCGGCUCACUGGUCCAUAACUGACGCUGAGGCACGAAAGCGUGGGGAGCAAACAGG
rnacentral:rRNA from 1 species